GCUCCGCAGAUACCUGGAGAACGGGAAGGAGACGCUGCAGCGCGCAGAACCCCCAAAGACACACGUGACCCACCACCCCCUCUCUGACCAUGAGGCCACCCUGAGGUGCUGGGCCCUGGGCUUCUACCCUGCGGAGAUCACACUGACCUGGCAGCGGGAUGGGGAGGACCAGACCCAGGACACCGAGCUUGUGGAGACCAGGCCAGCAGGAGAUGGAACCUUCCAGAAGUGGGCAGCUGUGGUGGUGCCUUCUGGACAAGAGCAGAGAUACACGUGCCAUAUGCAGCACGAGGGGCUGGCCCCUCACCUUCUCCUCCUUUCCCAGAGCCAUCUUCCCAGCCCACCAUCCCCAUCAUGGGCAUCGUUGCUGGCCUGGCUGUCCUGGUUGUCCUAGCUGUCCUUGGAGCUGUGGUCACCGCUAUGAUGUGUAGGAGGAAGAGCUCAGGUAGGGAAGGGGGAGCUGCUCUCAGGCUGCGCAGCAACAGUGCCCAGGGCUCUGAUGAGUCUCUCAUCACUUGUAAAGCCUGAGACAGCUGCCUGUGUGGGACUGAGAUGCAGGAUUUCUUCACACCUCUCCUUUGUGACUUCAAGAGCCUCUGGCAUCUCUUUCUGCAAAGGCACCUGAAUGUGUCUGCGUUCCUGUUAGCAUAAUGUGAGGAGGUGGAGAGACAGCCCACCCCCGUGUCCACCGUGACCCCUGUCCCCACACUGACCUGUGUUCCCUCCCCGAUCAUCUUUCCUGUUCCAGAGAGGUGGGGCUGGAUGUCUCCAUCUCUGUCUCAAAUUCAUGGUGCACUGAGCUGCAACUUCUUACUUCCCUAAUGAAGUUAAGAACCUGAAUAUAAAUUUGUGUUCUCAAAUAUUUGCUAUGAAGCGUUGAUGGAUUAAUUAAAUAAGUCAAUUCCUAGAAGUUGAGAGAGCAAAUAAAGACCUGAG
rnacentral:lncRNA from 1 species